AGGACGAACGCUGGCGGCGUGCUUAACACAUGCAAGUCGAGCGGAAAGGCCCUUCGGGGUACUCGAGCGGCGAACGGGUGAGUAGCACGUGAGUAAUCUGCCCCUAGCUCUGGGAUAGCUCCGGGAAAACCGGGAUUAAUACCGGAUACGACCACUUUAGACAUCUGUUGUGGUGGAAAGAAUUUUGGCUAGGGAUGAGCUCGCGGCCUAUCAGCUUGUUGGUGGGGUAACGGCCUACCAAGGCGACGACGGGUA
rnacentral:rRNA from 1 species